GGAUUAGAUACCCUGGUAGUCCACGCCGUAAACGAUGACGAUUGGCCGUUUGGGGGCUUGACCCCUGAGUGGCGCAGCCAACGCGUGAAAUCGUCCGCCUGGGGAGUACGGUCGCAAGAUUAAAACUCAAAGGAAUUGACGGGGACCCGCACAAGCGGUGGAUGAUGUGGAUUAAUUCGAUGCAACGCGAAGAACCUUACCCAGCCUUGACAUGUCGGGGCGCCCGAAGAGAUUUGGGCUUGCCGCAAGGAACCCGAGCACAGGUGCUGCAUGGCUGUCGUCAGCUCGUGCCG
rnacentral:rRNA from 1 species